ACAGUGGACGCGAGCAUCUUUGUUGUAAGUGUUUAAGAGCGUACGGUGGAUGCCUUGGCACCAGGAGCCGAUGAAGGACGUAGGAGGCUGCGAUAAGCCUCGGGGAGCUGUCAACCGAGCUGAGAUCCGAGGAUGUCCGAAUGGGGAAACCCAGCCACAGUGAUGUGUGGUUACCCGCGCCUGAAUAUAUAGGGCGUGUGGAGGGAACGUGGGGAAGUGAAACAUCUCAGUACCCACAGGAAGAGAAAACAACAUGUGAUUCCGUGAGUAGUGGCGAGCGAAAGCGGAAGAGGCUAAACCAUGGGUGUGUGAUAGCCGGCGGGCGUUGCAUUCGUGGGGUUGUGGGAUCCGUCUUGUCAAUUCUGCCGGAUUGGCCGACAGUGAGAAAUCAUCGUGUUAGUCGAAGUGGUCUGGAACGGCCUGUCGUAGAGGGUGAGAGUCCCGUAGACGAAAACAUGGUGACUGUCGUGACGGACACCCGAGUAGCAGCGGGCCCGUGAAAUCUGCUGUGAAUCUGUCGGGACCACCCGAUAAGCCUGAAUACUCCCUGGUGACCGAUAGCGGACUAGUACCGUGAGGGAAAGGUGAAAAGUACCCCGGGAGGGGAGUGAAAUAGUACCUGAAACCGUGCGCUUACAAUCCGUCAGAGCCUGCGCCACUUUGGUGGGUGGGUGAUGGCGUGCCUUUUGAAGAAUGAGCCUGCGAGUUAGCGGCAUGUCGCGAGGUUAACCCGUGUGGGGUAGCCGUAGCGAAAGCGAGUCCGAAUAGGGCGUUUGUAGUGGCAUGUUCUAGACCCGAAGCGGAGUGAUCUACCCAUGGCCAGGGUGAAGCGACGGUAAGACGUCGUGGAGGCCCGAACCCACUUAGGUUGAAAACUGAGGGGAUGAGCUGUGGGUAGGGGUGAAAGGCCAAUCAAACUCCGUGAUAGCUGGUUCUCCCCGAAAUGCAUUUAGGUGCAGCGUCGCGUGUUUCACUCUGGAGGUAGAGCUACUGGAUGGCCGAUGGGCCCCACAAGGUUACUGACGUCAGCCAAACUCCGAAUGCCAGAGUGUGAGAGCGCGGCAGUGAGACUGCGGGGGAUAAGCUUCGUAGUCGAGAGGGAAACAGCCCAGAUCGCCGGCUAAGGCCCCUAAGCGUGUACUAAGUGGAAAAGGAUGUGGGGUCGCGAAGACAACCAGGAGGUUGGCUUAGAAGCAGCCACCCUUGAAAGAGUGCGUAAUAGCUCACUGGUCAAGUGAUCCUGCGCCGACAAUGUAGCGGGGCUCAAGUACACCGCCGAAGCCGCGGCAUUCACAUAACACCCACUUCCCUCUACGGGGGGUUGUGCAGUGGUGUGGAUGGGUAGGGGAGCGUCGUGCAGCCAUGGAAGCGCCGGAGUGAUCCAGGUGUGGAGGCUGCACGAGUGAGAAUGCAGGCAUGAGUAGCGAAAGACGAGUGAGAAACUCGUCCGCCGAAUGACCAAGGGUUCCUGGGCCAGGUUAAUCCGCCCAGGGUGAGUCGGGACCUAAGGCGAGGCCGACAGGCGUAGUCGAUGGACAACGGGUUGAUAUUCCCGUACCCGUGUGAACGCGCCCCUGGUGAAUCAGUGAUGCUAAGCGCCCUGAAGCCGCCUUCGAACCUUCGGGUUCUCCGGUGUGUGGAUGCGCGUGAACCGAUCUGGUAGUAGCCAAGCGAUGGGGUGACGCAGGAAGGUAGCUGAGCCAGUCAGUGGUAAUACUGGUGUAAGCGUGUAGGGCGUGACCUAGGCAAAUCCGGGUCACACACAGCCUGAGACGUGAUGCGUAGCCGAUUGAGGCGAAUUCAGUGAUCCUAUGCUGCCGAGAAAAGCCUCUAGCGAGCUUUCACACGGCCCGUACCCCAAACCGACACAGGUGGUCAGGUAGAGAAUACUAAGGCGAUCGAGAUAACUGUGGUUAAGGAACUCGGCAAAAUGCCCCCGUAACUUCGGGAGAAGGGGGGCCUCGUCUGGU
rnacentral:rRNA from 1 species